CACCAACGACCCAAUCCAUGUGAGCAAAUAAAAACACUCUUUAUAUACGUACUCCCUCCGUUCCGAAAUAUAUGACGUUUUAGAAAACGUCCCGACCAGGUGAAAAGGGAGGAAAGUACAGAAGUGCCCCUAAUUUAAAUCGCUAUUGCCGUCGUCUUCCUCGCCGAGCAGAUCCUCUCCAUCCCAGUCGCCGCUGCUGCUUGCUUCCUGCCGCCAGGGUCGCCCCCCAUCCCAGGGCCGCCCCUCUCCCAGGGCCACCCCCCUGUCGCCUGCGCCAAUCCAGCCCCCUGUCGCUGGAGGGGGCCUCACCAACUCGCCUCGUCGGAGGGGGUGCUGCUGCAGACCGUUGUCCCCCUCCCAAGGCCUCGCCAGCUCCAGAGAGUACUGCUUCAGAUCGAGGUACUGCUCGCCGGAGGGGGUACUGCUUCAGAUCGGCAGCCCCAGGUCCAGAUCGCCGCGCCCUCCCAUGCAGCUCCAGGUACUGCUACAGAUAGCCUCCCCACUUGGUCCAGAUCGCCUCCUGAAGUAAAAGUUUGAAAAGGAAAAGCUCAAAAUACUCCAGACAAAGUUUGUUGGUAGAGUACUGUAUCAAUCAAGACAGUUUCAAUGUACAGGUACUGUAUACAGUAAAAAAUUGAUGGCAAAGUAUCAAUCAAGACAAAGUUUCUGAGUACAAGAACUCUAGCAGGCAUACAAGACUGAAAUCGUGCUCAGAUGAAUAUGGAAUUGGCAGUACAGAGUACCUGGAGGGCUUGAAGUAGGCAGCAACAGCAACAGCUCGAAGCAGGCAGCAUCUCCAGCACGACACAACAACCUGCAAGAGAGAAAGACAGUAAUCAACAUGGAAUUUGAUCUGAACUGUACUCCCCCCGAAGAAGAGGACAUACCUAGAGGAGUCGGUCCCGAUGAAGAUGAUAUCGAUGAUAUCGACAUGCACGAGAGCAUUGAUCCUGGUGAAGAUGACAUCGACAUGCACGAUGGCAUUGAUGCCGACGAAGAUGCAGUCGGUGAGCUUCCUCAUCUUCCCUAUAAAGAUGAUGUCACUGUCAACUCAAAUACUCAAUGUGAAAUGAUCAAAAUACAGAAUAAAAUGGAUUAGGAGUAGAGUAUAGCAAUGAUCAUUUUAGUUUGUACCGUACUCCAUUUUGGUAACAUGAGCCUGUACCAAAUUAAACAGUCAAAAACAUUCAGUGUGAAACGCAUUAACAUGAAAGACAGUAGA
rnacentral:lncRNA from 1 species